rnacentral:lncRNA from 1 species
UUGCAUAUAUCCGUUCUCCCUUCUUCUUCCUUAAUAAAUGGGACAGUAUAUUGUUGUUCUGUCUCCUUUUUCCUUCUCUGCAUCUGUUCUAUUAUGACAGUAUUAGAGCACUUUUGGAAGAGCUUUGCUGUGCAUUCACUUCUCUGAUUUCUUUUGCCUUCAUGGUAUCCUUCGAAUUUUGAUGCCAAAAAAAGUAAAAUUCUUCUGCUGGAUGCACAACUUGUGCUCAUAGUAGUAGGAGCGGUCACACCAUUGGUGUUUGCUACCGAAAACAUGGAUUUCAUGGAUUUCCUCCAGACCGUUGAUUGUAUAAUGGGAAACCAAAUCCACUACUGCUGUUGUGAUUGUGAAACGAAAAUUUCAGAUACUGAACAACAAUCUACUAUGAAUGAGAUCCAAGACGUUUGCUUCUCUAGUCAACAAUAUCAAGAUAUUGUUCUCUGGCAUUAAUCCAACAAACACAAAAUGCUAAUUCAACAUCGAAUGUGGCUCAUAUUAGUUCCAUUUUAUCAAGCUCCACACACUCACCUCCACUAUAAGGUAAAUUUGACUCUCUCAUCACACAAACAACGAGUCACAGACACCCACAUGUUUUAGUCUGAUUUUCUUCUUUUUUCCAAUUGCUCAUUGUCUCAUUCAGGUUGCAAACACUUGGAUGAUGAUUGAUUGAGUUGGUGUGAGAGAUGGAGUAAUCAGCUUAUCAUCCACCUAAUAAACUUCACUAUUAUACACCCCCACUGCAAUGUGAUUCCUAUUGACCUUUGGGUCACCUGUCAAGAUACUGAAUGCACCUUAAGAAACAACAAUAUCCAUGUUUAAAUAGCAAUAAAGAUUCUGUUUGCAACACGUGACAUUAAAUUGCCUUUUCCUCUUAGCAACUCCCACACCACACACGUUUUUGCUCUUCUUCACAUGGAUAUAUGGAGACCAUAUUCUAUGCCUUCCAUGAAUAGAAUGGAUGUUGUUAUUUUCUCACUAUUGUCAAUGAUUACACACGCUACACUUGAGUUUAUUUGAUGCAUACUAAACGUGAAACAUGUACACAUAUUACUAAUUUUAUCAAUCUUGUUGAAAAUCAAUUAGAUACACACAUCAAAAUCAUAUGUACUGACAAUGGCUUAGAAUUUUGCAUUCAUGAGCUUUUUCAUUCAAAAGGGAAUCCUUCAUCAUACAACUUGCAUAAAAACUUCCUAACAAUGAAAUUGUUGAAUGUAAACAUCAACAUUUACUCAAUGUCGCUUGUACUCUCGUGUUUCAUUCUAACUUACCAUAGGAGGUU